CCUACGGGAGGCAGCAGUGAGGAAUAUUGGUCAAUGGGCUUACGCCUGAACCAGCCAAGUCGCGUGAGGGAAGACUGCCCUAUGGGUUGUAAACCUCUUUUGUCAGGGAGCAACGCCGGCUACGGGUAGCCGGACUGAGAGUACCUGAAGAAAAAGCAUCGGCUAACUCCGUGCCAGCAGCCGCGGUAAUACGGAGGAUGCGAGCGUUAUCCGGAGUUAUUGGGUUUAAAGGGUGCGUAGGCGGAAUGCCAAGUCAGCGGUAAAAUCGCGGGGCUCAACCUCGCUCCGCCGUUGAAACUGGCGUUCUUGAGUGGGCGAGAAGUAUGCGGAAUGCGUGGUGUAGCGGUGAAAUGCAUAGAUAUCACGCAGAACUCCGAUUGCGAAGGCAGCAUACCGGCGCCCAACUGACGCUGAAGCACGAAAGCGUGGGUAUCGAACAGGAUUAGAUACCCGAGUAGUC
rnacentral:rRNA from 1 species